UUGGAUGUAGCUCAGUGGCAAAGCACUUGCCUAGCAAGUGCUACGUCCUGGGUUCGAUCCCCAGUACCAAAA
rfam:Dipodomys ordii ctg_broad_rename0000616, whole genome shotgun sequence.